CAACUCCUAAGCCCAGGAACCACCCAGAGGAGGGGCAGGAAGGGUAGAAGAUCAGAAGUUUGCCGUGAAACUGUCUCCUAGUAACAUCCGAAGCUGCACCCAUACAGUCUCACCAGCAUGGCUGCCCAAAUGUGAUCUGAACCAGGACAUCACAGACACGGCUCCUUCUGGCUUGCCACUGGCUUAGUACUGGCUUAAUAAAGGUCACUGCUUGGCCAUGGAUACCAAGAAACUAUUCAACCCAAUUUAUCUGCCCAUCAAAAAGUCGAUGUUAUCCACGAUACCACAAAACCAGCUACAACCUCCUGGUCAGCCAACACAGGACGGAACCGGAGUAAAGACUGCUCUCCCCGGGGUGAUGGUUGGACCCAGUGAGGCAAGUUCCUAAAGGACAACACUGAAGAGAAAUUCUCCCAGAAGGUGAAACUCCAUGUUGAUUCAUAACUAACGUGUUGUCCAGCCCACCACAGGCUUUGAAAGGUUCCACGGGGAGAGGCUCUCAGAAGUUACCUGUACAGGGCGACCUUCUGAAGACACCAGCUGUCUCUCAUCCCCCGCCAGUGCUUGUUCCAUGGACCCAGGUACAAAUGACAAAAGAGGGAGGGAUGGCGGCCACAGACGCCCCUCACCCAGACUGGCACGGCUCUCCUCAGUGGCACAGCGCCACACUCCAUCAGCUGAGGCCCGUGCUGUGCCGUUCACCUGACGCCCUCCCAGUCACCGACGUUACAUUCCUUCCAACACAGUGGGCAGGGAGUUGCUUCCCCGGCCACAUCAUUUCUACCAACACCACCGUUUCUGGGCUUUGAGAAUGCUCUAUUUAUCUAUCACCAUGGCGACUCAGACAACAUCACGGAGAGCAGUAGGAUUUCAUUUUAUGGAGAAGGAAGUUUGGUAGAGAGCUCAUGCCUGUGAAAUCCCCUGACUACCUCAUGCCUCACCGUCAAGCCCACCCUGCAGGGUGUGGUGUAUUCCUUCCCUAGCAGGUUUUGUAAUGGUGCCAUGCCCCAAGAGUCCAGCACAUGGUGAGUCCCGGAACCAAGCCUCGGGGAGGAGGCCCGCCCGCCUAACACCAGCUAACACACAGGAGUUCUGCUUUCCUUCCUGCGACCUUGGGCUAGCAUCCAAGAAAGGAAUGCUUCCUUCAGGAAACACAGUCACAUCACGUCACAGUUCCGAUGGGUUGCAGGAUUUCCACUGAGGCUGCCCCUCCCCGACGAGCCCUGCCUGCCCCACCCCAGCCUCAACCAUGGUGUGGGGGGUGGGGGUGGGGGAGGGGCCUGUAAAGGUUCUGCUAGUGAGGCAGGGGGAUCUUGUACAGAACCUAACGAAUUUCAGGGAGGCACUCCUAAUACUUCUUGUUAAAAACUCUUAUUGCAUAAAAGGAAGGGAGCUCGCUAGAAAUGGACCCCGCGGGGAGUCCAGUCCUGAAUGAAUGUCUCCCCAGAGCUAAGGGAAAGAGCUGCUAAAAAGCCUCCACAGAGACAGGGCUUGAGAAGGGCAGCAGCAGCCAUGGCAGCAGCAGGAAACAGAGGAUUGCUUCCCGCUGGACCGCGUCAUCCACUCACACACACCUUACGCAAAGACUGAUGGUGAUGCCAAGGGUUAGGCUCCAGGACAAGGGUGAAGUCUGAACAGCAUAGGGCUAAGAGGUUUGCCUUACCACUACAGAUCAAAUUCCACCUUCCUCAGUACGCCCACGUGAGCUGUCCUGGGAGACUGCAGACAUGGCCGGUGUCUAGCAAGGGCGUAAGGGAUGUUUUCACCCAACAGCUGACAGCACAGCUCCCGUCAAGCCCUUCCUUGGGGGCUCUGCUCAGAUGGUGACACUCCUUCCACGGGAUCUGCAGUGGGACACAACCAUCAGUCCUCCCCAUCCUUCCUGACCUGACCCUGCCCACACCCUGGCAAACAGUUCUCCUGCAGGGUGUGACCUCCGCUGGGCUGAUUCAGCCACUUGAGCAGUGACAGUCACAUGGAAAAAUGAAAGCCUAAAUGUUCACCCGGGCAGAAGAAUAGAUAAGUCUGGGACUCUCCAAAGGUAGGAUUCCCCCAGGCCCAGUGGUGCACACUUGUGGCUUACAGCACUUACGUGCAGUUUGAGUGGGAAAUGCCCCUGUAGUCUUGGGCAUUUGAAUGCUGGUCCCAGUUGGUGGCACUGUGUUUUUUUUGGGGGGGUGG